rnacentral:rRNA from 1 species
UACGUAGGGGGCAAGCGUUGUCCGGAUUUAUUGGGCGUAAAGAGCGUGUAGGCGGCCAGGUAGGUCCGUUGUGAAAACUCGAGGCUCAACCUCGAGACGCCGAUGGAAACCAUCUGGCUAGAGUCCGGAAGAGGAGAGUGGAAUUCCCGGUGUAGCGGUGAAAUGCGCAGAUAUCGGGAAGAACACCCGUGGCUAAGGCGGCUCUCUAGUACGGUACUGACGCUGAGACGCGAAAGCUAGGGGAGCAAACAGG